rnacentral:rRNA from 1 species
UACAGAGGUCCCAAGCGUUGUUCGGAUUCAUUGGGCGUAAAGGGUGCGUAGGCGGCGCGGUAAGUCGGGUGUGAAAUCUCGGGGCUUAACUCCGAAACUGCAUUCGAUACUGCCGUGCUUGAGGACUGGAGAGGAGACUGGAAUUUACGGUGUAGCGGUGAAAUGCGUAGAGAUCAGGAAGAACACCGGUGGCGAAAGCGUUCUGCUAGACCUGUACUGACACUGAGGGACGAAAGCUAGGGGAGCGAAUGGG